GGGCGUUGAGCCUGGGCGCCGCGGCUGCGUCUAUUCAGCUUAAUAGAAUUUGCUCCACUGAAGAUGAGAUUGCAGUAAGAAACUCUUCUCUGGCUUCCGAUAUGCUAUUAAGAGGCUGUUGUCCAUACUCUUGAUCUUUGAGAAGGAAAGGUUGAUAAGAACCUUCAACCAUGGGAGAUCUCUACCGUUCUUCAGAAAUAAGAGAUAGAGGGGCUGGAGAUCCUAAUUAAACAUUCUAUUUUGAAGCAGUUUGUUUAGUAUUUCAAUUUGAAAUUAGAUUCUUUGUUAUCUAGCUGUGCAAAUGUCAAAUGUCAGAAUAUUCCAUGAUAUAAUAACAGUGUAGUUGUAGCCCUGAUUUAGAUAAUGGCUAUAACAACACUUAUUAAAAUCUUGAAGGAGGCAGAGAAAAGUUAUAAUCUCCUUAGGAUCAGUGUUCAUUUUUUGGGCAGGUUUUCUGCAGAAUUGAGAUAGUUAUAUUCAUACUGAAAAUGCAAAUGGACAAUCUGACAAUGUACCUCAGAACCUGGAGGUUUUUCCCAAGUCUUUGUAGAUGAAGGGUCUUUUUUAAGAUAGCUACAGAAGACAAAUUGAAUUUUGGGAAGAUUUCUGCUUAGGCAGUUGCCUUCUCUUAAACACCAGGAGCUUUGAAAUGAAUGCGGAGGUGCGUGUAAUGUAAUGUAUCACAUACAGACUUUCUUUGGAGCAUACGGAAUGGUAAUUUCAAGGUCUGUGUGGAUGUUGGGGGCAGGGAAAUUUGCAUUAUUCUCUGCUCUCUCCUGAGUCUGCAAGUAUCCUCUGGUUUAUAGUAAUUUUCUUUGAAACCCUGCUCUGCAGAGGGAAAAUCUGCAUCUCUGAGGCCUGGAAAGGAAAACUGAGGAAGAUACCCCCCACAAAUGCUGCUGUGUUUAAUUAGCUGGUGAUAUAGUAAAGAGAAGUAAAUUGAAUGGUAGCAGUUUAUGAAUUUUAAUUGUGUUUUUUAUUCACAUACUAUUUUACUAUAUUUUUAGCUUUCUAUAGAUAAAGUAUGCAAAGGACUGAUUAAUCAAAAAAGUAAUUCUUAAAUGUAAAUCCACCGAACAAAACCAAAGAAAACCAAAUCUCAUUGCAGAAAAUAUGGCUAAGAAAAAUAUUGUUUAUUCACACAGCUUGGAUGUGGAUAUGAGAAAAUAUGCUUUAGGUUCAAGUGGGUGUAAAACGGAAAAGCAUUCAGAGUAUGUGUAUACCACUUAACAUACAAUGCUCCACUGAAUACCAGCAUUCACUAAACUGUGAUGCUCUUAGGGGGCACAAGCAUAUGCUGUUACUGGCUAUUCCUGCUUAGCAGCUGCAGACAACCUUGAAAGAAAUUUCAGUAAUCCUUGUAAUGAAACUAUCGAAGCAGGGAA